UGCGUUUCCUACAGCGGUAGACCGCGCUCCCGGGGAUCGGGGGACCAGAUUGCACAACGUUUUCGUUUUGAGGGACCAGAUUGCAUUACACGGAGCAGGCAAGGCCCUCCCCUCUGCCGUCGCCGUCGGGGGUGGCGGCCGUGGGUUCACGCGCGCCGCGGGGUUGCCCCGCCCCCCUUCUCUCCCACAAGGCCACCGCCACAACAUCUCGGGUCUCCGCCUGGAGGCGCAGCAGUAAGCGGCCGAAUAGAGGAGCCGCCUGCGGGCGACCGGCGACGAGGUUAGAUGGAGCAGAGGUCAAAGAGGACAAGAGGUGCAUGGAUCUAUCUAGAAGGUAAAAGCCAGGACGACACGGAUUUCAUUACCAGAGGUAGAAGGAGGCUGGCCAUGGACUCGAAUCGUCGCUGUGGCCAGGACGAGCAGCGGUGCCAGGAUCCAUGUCAGUUUUGUACUCGCCGAGCUGAUGAUCGCCAUGGCACUCUUGGAUUUUUGCAAGGCGUUGCAAGCGAGAGGCAUCCACAGAGCAACCUGUGCACUUAUAUGGCAGAUGAAACCAGCUAACGCGGCCGGUUUAGUGGUAUUUUUAGUGACUCAAGCUCAAUCGGCGCGGUGUGAUAAUAAAGAAAACGAAAGCUUUGUCCAUCAGUAGGUGAACUGCUACUUGCAUUAGUCUAAAGGUAAGACUUGCCAUGGGGUUCAGUUCGAUAAUCUCUGCCAGAAUCAACUGCCCGUCAGCGAGAUAACGAGGCCCUACCUGCAGCUCGCUCCUUGAACGCACGCUGAUCUUUCUUUUGAACCAGUCCCCUCGCUGUGCGAGAAUAAAGAAGUGGAAGAAGCUACAGUUACAUUGGAAAGAAGACACAAAGAAGAAAGCCAAUUUGCAAGACCAAAUCCAAGCGUGACCAAGCUGAGGUGCAUUCCCAAACCGAGCUGAUGUAAUGAAGGCAAGACCUGGAUUUAUAUUGUCGGCGUAAUGAACGACCCGGCGUGUUGACUGUACGUGGGUAGGAAGAAGAAGAACACCCACCCAGGUACACUAGAUUCUACACACACACCGGCCGGUUGUUGGAUGGCUUGCUUGUUUGCCAAACUCGCAUCCCAGCAUGAACAUCGAACAAGGCAGAAACUGCACUAUCAAGCUACCAACUAAGCUAGUACUUGCCAAUAGACUGCAGGCGGUCAUAAUGGAGCUUGUUUGUAUUAAUCAGUAUAUGGCUGGCUUUAUUAAAUCCAGGGCCAUUCAGGACUGCAUUGCUUGGGCUUAUGGGUAUCUUUUCCAAUGUCACAAAGCAAGCUGCCUACUGUUGUACUUAAAAAUUGACUUUGAAAAAGCUUUUGACGAGCUUGAACAUGGAAUGAUCUUAGCUAUUUUGAGCGAGAAGGGGUUUGGUACCAAUUGGUGUUCAUGGAUAGAACAAAGUUUAUCUAUAGCUACAUGGUGUUGGAAUUAUGUGUCCGGCAACUAUAUUCAAAUUGCUUGGAAUUGUUAAUAUUCGGAAUACCUCAUUAUGGCUGUACAUGUAUUUAUACAUGGAAUUGAUUUACAUGUUUAGCAUGGAAUUGUUACUUGCUGGAAUGUACUUAAGUAAUAUAUGCAUAAGGAAGCUGGUCGAUUAUUAGUGG